CUAAUUUUAGUGAAGACUGAUUCAAAUUCCCCAUAUUUUGCUAAAAUAACUCAUUCAAAUCGAAAAGAUUUAUUCAAAUAUGCAGGAAAUCAUAAAUACUAAUGAGUUCCUCUUCUCUAUUUCCUCGAAACCAUAAAUACUUAUUCAAUAUGCUGCAGAAAGGGGAAAGACACAAUUGAUGAAUUCCCCUUUUGUAUUUCCUCGCAACCAAAGAUGCUCAAUAACCUUAAUCCCACAUCUAUUCUCAUUAAACUUUCUCUAAUCAGACUAUUAGGGUUUUUGUGAAUGUCACGGGCAUCAACAAGGCUUUCAUGCUUGCUAUACUCUGAUUCGUAAUCUGAUAUGCCUCUGUCAUUUGCCAAAUAUGACUCCUUCAGAUGCUCUCCACUCUUCGGUUCCAUCUACAUCAGCCCUCAUAUGCGCACAUAUGUCCAACAUAACGAUCGCAGUCAAAGUGCACCCAUGGUUAUAGUCCUUUAAGCUUAAACCGGGAGAAAAGUCCAGUUAGAGAAAAUGUGGCAGACCAACAAGUCUUGUAGAAGACCAAAUAAGGCUAAUAUGGCUCUCUCUCUCUCUCUCUCUAGGUCUUUUGUGUGUAGGACCUGUUAAUAUGUGUCCUUAUGGGAUCAAAGUUGGUGGCAUGGUGCUUUCGAUAAAGUUUUGGGUUAUGUUCUAUUUUGAAUGCAAGUUUCACUCUGGAAUGGAUUUUGGAGGGAUUAUUGUGUUAAAUUAAAUUCAUGGAUGGGAGGCAAUAGUGAUGCAGAAAUCAAGUCCAUGGAGAGGAUUAAAGUUGAAAAUUGUGAUGAUAUGCAAAUCAUUUGAGAGGGGAAAUUGUAUGUUAUCCCGGUAAUAGCUUUGCUUAUGGAUAUCCAACAUCAAAUACUAGAGAACUGUGGAAUCAAUUUAAUGCAGCCCAUUGAUUUAUUAA